GACGAACGCUGGCGGCGUGCCUAAUACAUGCAAGUCGAGCGCUGAAGGAUGGUACUUGUACCAACUGGAUGAGCAGCGAACGGGCGAGUAACGAGUGGGGAAUCUGCCAUUGAGCGGGGGACAACAUUGGGAAACGAAUGCUAAUACCGCAUAAAAACUUUAACCACAAGAUGCAAGGUUGAAAGAUGCAAUGGCAGCAUUCAAAGAUGAACCCGCGUUGUAUUAGCUAGUUGGUGAGGUAAAGGCUCACCAAGGCGAUGAUACAUAGCCGACCUGGGGGGGUGGUCGGCCACAUUGGGACUGGGACCCGGCCCAAGCUCCUUCGGGGGGCAGCAGUAGGGAAUCUUCGGCCAUGGGCGAAAGUCUUACCGAGCAACGCCGCGUGAGUGAAGAAGGUUUUCGGAUCGUAAAACUCUGUUGGUAGAGAAGAACGUUGGUGAGGGUGGAAAGCUCAUCUAGUGACGGUAACUACCCAGAAAGGGCCGGCUAACUUCGUG
rnacentral:rRNA from 1 species